CUCGGUCUUUCCUCACUCGGUCGCUCCAGCGCCACCGCCCUCUCCAGCCUACCUCAUUUGGCCACCGGGACCCACGCGCCGUAGCCUCCUCCCCUCCGCCAACACUGACACACGACGCCCCACCCCCUUGCACCCGAUCCACGGGGGAAGGAGCAGCCGCGCGCCUGCGCGUUACCACCACCCCGAUCCGGCCUCCCCGCCUCGUGCCACUCCUCCCCUCCCCUCCCUGCGCUGCCCCGCCCCUCCCUGUGCCGGCGAGACGGUAGAGGGUCUCGGCGCUCCGCUACUUCGGCCGAAUGUGCUCCAUGGUGAUGGCAUUCCUCGGCUUCGACCUCGGCGGUCCCCUGCAUUACGGUUGCUGUUUGGUCCUGGUGCUCUGUUAACCACCUCAUCGCUCCUCCACGGUUUGCCGAAAUAGCACUGCUUUGCCACCGGACUCGAUCACCUCCCUCGAGAUAGCAGCGCCAGAUUUGGGCAGCCUGAGCAGUUCUGUCACGGAUGACGCCUGCACCUCCACCGCUGCUUCUUUCCCCUUCCCAAGCUGCAUUUCCAUUUAGCUAUCCAUUUUGUUCUGCGACGUGUGCAUACUGCCUGUUCGACCAAAUGCCUCACAAGGUAACAAGUAACUGCCAUAAAACCUUCACAAUUAUUCUAACGCAAUGAGCUACUUUAGCUACAGUGUUUCAAAUUCAUUGCAAUGACUUUAGUAGUGAUUGCUAUAGAAUGAAGUAAGAUCAUAAGCAACAGGUAUACCUCAGUAACCAAGUCUUUGAUGUUUGCUUACUACAAGCUUUUAGCAAUCAAUCUACAUACUAAAUUAACAUUUUAUGAGCAUGCAGCUGUGUGCAUAUAGCUUACAAAGAAGUGUAUUUCUGUGCCAUCUUUUGCUCCUACCUCUUAAUCUUCGUGAGCUGCAAAAGCUUGCCUGCAGAAUUUGAAUGGAUCGAGGCAGGACUACUAGAGGUUGAUAAUUCGUUGAGACUUGCUCAAAAGAUCCCUGAAACAUUAUUUGGAUUAUUCUUUGAGUGUUGAUUUCCUAGGUGGUUUUCUGGAGUCGAAUCCUGAAGUGUUGAUUUCCUAGGUGGUUUCAAGACCUCUGAUGUCGCAUUCUAGCAGAGAUUGCAAGACAUAGAGCGAAGGCUGUUGAUGAAGACAAAAGAGUAUGACGAGCUUCCCCAAUUGUGAAAGUUACUACUCUGUUAAAUGUAUGUUCUUUGAAUUGGGUAAAGUUCUAUGUCAGAGUUUAUAUUCUGUGAUCGAAUUAUGCAGUAUUCUCUACUUGCUUUCAAUAGGCUAAGACAAGAAGUAGAUUUAGAGGGAUCAAGAUAUAAGACAUGGCCUUGUUAUGAUAAGGAUUUUGAAGUAUGCAUCAGAAAAAAAAUGCAUGGGGCUAUUGCUAUCUUGAACCCUAAAAAUUUAAGCUUCAAAUAUACUUAAUGCUUUGGUUAAUUUGUACUUACUGUACGAAUGAGUUAACUCCAUGCCUUUGUUCAUCCAACACAAAAGAAAUAUACUCUGUUGGGAGAAAUACCCCAGCCCACAGACAUUGUAAGGGGUCGCCAUUAAGGACCCCCUCCGGAGCCCAUUGGCUCCGAAGCCUCCGCCAGGACCACGUCUCCAAAGCCUCUGCCCAGACCAUGCCUCCCAAGCCUCUCCUAGGACCACGCCUCCCAAGCCUUCGCCAGAACCACACCUCUGAAGUCCUGCAUGCCUCCUCGGGCUGCUACCGGCGAAGUCUGGGGGAAGUAGUUGGCCUCCGUAAAGAAUAUCAGCAAAGGAGAACAUCCAUUGCAAAUUGGCCUGGCACAAGGUGACCGGUAGUUAAUACUGGUGCAAGUGGUGGCUAUCAUGACAUCCCAGUGCAAAUGAAGCCCCCCUGACAUCUGCGGCAGUGCGGCACCGCAAUCUACGAUUGGCUAAACACUAUUGUAUUUGUCAUAAUAGAUAAUAUCUUCUAAGUAGGGGUAAAAAGUAUUCUACCUGGACCUGGGCUGUGUGACUCAACUGGUCGUAGGUCCCUGUGGUAUAGUGAUAGCUUGUAUCACUAUCCCUGUAAGGAUAUACUUUUGUAUUUACACCUGAAUGGUAUUAUAAAUACAAACCUAUGACCAUCAGACCAGAGGACAAAUCUAUGGUUGUGAAUCUUCAGCAACAAGGGAAUAUUUGUGGAAAUGCAUAACCAGUGUAUUUGGGGGACACAAGA